rnacentral:rRNA from 1 species
UACGGGGGGGGCAAGCGUUGUUCGGAAUUACUGGGCGUAAAGGGCUCGUAGGUGGCCAACUAAGUCACACGUGAAAUCCCUCGGCUUAACCGGGGAACUGCGUUUGAUACUGGAUGGCUUGAGUUUGGGAGAGGGAUGCGGAAUUCCAGGUGUAGCGGUGAAAUGCGUAGAUAUCUGGAGGAACACCGGUGGCGAAGGCGGCAUCCUGGACCAAUACUGACGCUGAGGAGCGAAAGCCAGGGGAGCGAACGGG